UAGGGAAUCUUCCGCAAUGGACGCAAGUCUGACGGAGCAACGCCGCGUGAGUGAAGAAGGAUUUCGGUUCGUAAAACUCUGUUGUUAGAGAAGAACAGCGCAUAGAGUAACUGUUAUGCGUGUGACGGUAUCUAACCAGAAAGCCACGGCUAACUACGUGCCAGCAGCCGCGGUAAUACGUAGGUGGCAAGCGUUGUCCGGAUUUAUUGGGCGUAAAGCGAGCGCAGGCGGUCAAUUAAGUCUGAUGUGAAAGCCCCCGGCUCAACCGGGGAGGGUCAUUGGAAACUGGUUGACUUGAGUGCAGAAGAGGGGGGUGGAAUUCCAUGUGUAGCGGUGAAAUGCGUAGAUAUAUGGAGGAACACCAGUGGCGAAGGCGACUCUCUGGUCUGUAACUGACGCUGAGGUUCGAAAGCGUGGGUAGCAAACAGG
rnacentral:rRNA from 1 species